CCCCCCCCCAAUGCCCUAGGGUUAAGGGACAUAGUCGACCAUGGAGCGCUACACUCCACACCUGGAUCUCAACAUAUUGGGAGCACAUAACCACAGCGCACGGCCACAAUAGAUGUACCCCACUGAUUAAAUGGAUAGCCAUGCUCCGAGCUACAUCCCGUCCCCAUAUAGACGACAUCCUACUAGCUAGGCCGAAGACCACCCGACACUGGCUCAACGUGUUUAGGGACCAGUUAGACCCCAGCGCCAUAUAGUGACACGGGUCUGCUAGACAACUGUGCUAGUGCAUCGCUAGUUGCGCCUACCCCGCUUUUACGCCCCUCAAUCCCCAUCUGCAACCCAGCAGCCCUAAGACUAAGACCACCUGACACUAAAGGAGAAAACCAUGCACCCACUAACAAACGGGGCUACCAGGCCAGUGGCACAACAUCCCAGGUCCCAAGGAUCAUCAACGCCAUGUUAUGAGACUGAUGGCUUACUAGUGCCUAGCCCAAAACAGACACCUCUCUGUGGCUGAGCCACUACAUCGCAAUUCCUAGCCUUGCACGUACCAGUACUAACGGAGGCAAAUCGCUAUAACCUAACAGCCCAUUAUAUUAAAAAAUGUGCAAUGUAUGUUUUAGCCAAUUUACUGUAUUGACAUGUUCGGAAUACCAAGUUAACUCUUUGCUGUUGUGGCAAAUACACAAAUGUCUGUAAUAAUGCUACUGCAC